ACGGAGGGUGCAAGCGUUGUCCGGAUUUAUUGGGUUUAAAGGGUGCGUAGGUGGCUUUUUAAGUCAGUGGUGAAAUUCUGCAGCUUAACUGUAGAACUGCCAUUGAUACUGGAAGGCUUGAGUAUCGUUGAGGCAGGCGGAAUUUAUGGUGUAGCGGUGAAAUGCAUAGAUACCAUAAAGAACACCGAUAGCGAAGGCAGCUUGCUAAGCGAUAACUGACACUAAUGCACGAAAGCGUGGGUAGCGAACAGG
rnacentral:rRNA from 1 species